UACGAACUGUGCGAACGUUAUUCGGAAUCACUGGGCUUACAGGGUGCGUAGGCGGCUUGUUAAGUAGGGUGUGAAAGCCCCCGGCUCAACCGGGGAAUUGCGCCCUAAACUGGCGAGCUAGAGUGAGAUAGGGGUAUGUGGAACUUCCGGUGGAGCGGUGAAAUGUGUUGAUAUCGGAAGGAACGCCGGUGGCGAAAGCGACAUACUGGAUCUUGUCUGACGCUGAGGCACGAAAGCCAGGGGGAGCGAACGGGG
rnacentral:rRNA from 1 species